rnacentral:rRNA from 1 species
GAUGAACGCUGGCGGCGUGCCUAAUACAUGCAAGUCGAGCGAACGGACGAGAAGCUUGCUUCUCUGAUGUUAGCGGCGGACGGGUGAGUAACACGUGGAUAACCUACCUAUAAGACUGGGAUAACUUCGGGAAACCGGAGCUAAUACCGGAUAAUAUUUUGAACCGCAUGGUUCAAAAGUGAAAGACGGUCUUGCUGUCACUUAUAGAUGGAUCCGCGCUGCAUUAGCUAGUUGGUAAGGUAACGGCUUACCAAGGCAACGAUGCAUAGCCGACCUGAGAGGGUGAUCGGCCACACUGGAACUGAGACACGGUCCAGACUCCUACGGGAGGCAGCAGUAGGGAAUCUUCCGCAAAGGGCGAAAGCCUGACGGAGCAACGCCGCGUGAGCGAUGAAGGUCUUCGGAUCGUAAAACUCUGUUAUUAGGGAAGAACAUAUGUGUAAGUAACUGUGCACAUCUUGACGGUACCUAAUCAGAAAGCCACGGCUAACUACGUG